ACGGUCUUGCUGUCACUUAUAGAUGGAUCCGCGCUGCAUUAGCUAGUUGGUAAGGUAACGGCUUACCAAGGCAACGAUGCAUAGCCGACCUGAGAGGGUGAUCGGCCACACUGGAACUGAGACACGGUCCAGACUCCUACGGGAGGCAGCAGUAGGGAAUCUUCCGCAAUGGGCGAAAGCCUGACGGAGCAACGCCGCGUGAGUGAUGAAGGUCUUCGGAUCGUAAAACUCUGUUAUUAGGGAAGAACAUAUGUGUAAGUAACUGUGCACAUCUUGACGGUACCUAAUCAGAAAGCCACGGCUAACUACGUGCCAGCAGCCGCGGUAAUACGUAGGUGGCAAGCGUUAUCCGGAAUUAUUGGGCGUAAAGCGCGCGUAGGCGGUUUUUUA
rnacentral:rRNA from 1 species